rnacentral:rRNA from 1 species
AACGAACGCUGGCGGCAUGCCUAACACAUGCAAGUCGAACGAGACCUUCGGGUCUAGUGGCGCACGGGUGCGUAACGCGUGGGAACCUGCCCUUAGGUUCGGAAUAACUCCCCGAAAGGGGUGCUAAUACCGGAUAAUGUCUUCGGACCAAAGAUUUAUCGCCUUUGGAUGGGCCCGCGUUGGAUUAGCUAGUUGGUAGGGUAAAAGCCUACCAAGGCGACGAUCCAUAGCUGGUCUGAGAGGAUGAUCAGCCACACUGGGACUGAGACACAGCCCAGACUCCUACGGGAGGCAGCAGUGGGGAAUAUUGGACACUGGGCGAAAGCCUGAUCCAGCAAUGCCGCGUGAGUGAUGAAGGCCUUAGGGUUGUAAAGCUCUUUUACCCGGGAUGAUAAUGACAGUACCGGGAGAAUAAGCUCCGGCUAACUCCGUG